rnacentral:rRNA from 1 species
UACGUAGGGUGCGAGCGUUAAUCGGAAUUACUGGGCGUAAAGCGUGCGCAGGCGGUUGGUUAAGUCUGAUGUGAAAGCCCCGGGCUCAACCUGGGAAUGGCAUUGGAAACUGGCUGGCUAGAGUGUGGCAGAGGGGGGUGGAAUUCCGCGUGUAGCAGUGAAAUGCGUAGAUAUCCGGAGGAACACCGGUGGCGAAGGCGGCUUCCUGGACCGACACUGACGCUGAGGCGCGAAAGCUAGGGGAGCAAACGGG